GAAGGUCUUCCUGGGGCCACACCAGAAGCGUUCACAUUGUAGACCCUGUCAGAUUCUUACGAAUCUGUGAAUUCUGCU
rnacentral:ribozyme from 1 species